AGUCGAACGAUGGCUUCGGCCAUAGUGGCGCACGGGUGAGUAACACGUGGGAACCUGCCUUUCGGUUCGGAAUAACGUUUGGAAACGAACGCUAACACCGGAUACGUCCUUCGGGAGAAAGUUUACGCCGAGAGAGGGGCCCGCGUCCGAUUAGGUAGUUGGUGGGGUAAUGGCCCACCAAGCCGACGAUCGGUAGCUGGUCUGAGAGGAUGAUCAGCCACACUGGGACUGAGACACGGCCCAGACUCCUACGGGAGGCAGCAGUGGGGAAUAUUGGACAAUGGGCGCAAGCCUGAUCCAGCAAUGCCGCGUGAGUGAUGAAGGCCUUAGGGUUGUAAAGCUCUUUCGCACGUGACGAUGAUGACGGUAACGUGAGAAGAAGCCCCGGCUAACUUCGUGCCAGCAGCCGCGGUAAUACGAAGGGGGCUAGCGUUGUUCGGAAUUACUGGGCGUAAAGGGCGCGUAGGCGGUCCGCUCAGUCAGAAGUGAAAGCCCCGGGCUCAACCUGGGAAUUGCUUUUGAUACUGGUGGACUUGAGUUCCGGAGAGGAUGGUGGAAUUCCCAGUGUAGAGGUGAAAUUCGUAGAUAUUGGGAAGAACACCGGUGGCGAAGGCGGCCAUCUGG
rnacentral:rRNA from 1 species